CCCUAUGGGGUGCGUGGCAGGGACCUGAUCAACGGACUCCCGAAAUCCGUGGAGGUUACCAGCGAGGAAAUCCGCGAUGCCCUCAAGGAGCCACUCGAACAGAUUCUCGCAACCAUCAAGUCUGCUCUGGAGCUGACGCCUCCCGAGCUGUCUGCCGACAUCAUCGACAGCGGCAUCAUGCUUUCCGGGGGUGGAGCACUCAUCACAGGGCUGGACAAGUUCAUUUCAACGCGCACCGGAAUCCUGGUGAAUGUCGCCGAAGACCCGCUGCAGUGCGUCGCCAAGGGAGCAGGAAGAGUCCUCGAGAAUUACGACGUUCUGCACGAGGUCCUGAUAUAAGGAAUGGCUCGCCCGGCACGCAAACUCACCCGGAGGUCUGCAAGCCUGCUGCUUGUUGCACUGUUCCUCGUGCUGGCGACCGUGGUAGGUCUUGCGUCGUACGGCGUGGAACUGGAGAGC
rnacentral:rRNA from 1 species